CCAGGACAACAGUGUAAACAUUUUAGCUAAACGCCAGAGACCAUCUUGUGUCUUAAAUUAAAACUGCAGAUACACAUCAGUCACAUUUCACCAGACAUGAAUAUGUACAGCAGUCAGUCAGCAUUCAUGAAGGUUACUCAACCCACUGAGGAUGUCAGAAUUCAGCCACGGAAUAUUAUCCAGAAAUGUUUCCAAAAAUGACUAGAGAGUUUGUGGACCUCCUCUGCACAAAGACUGCAGCCCUGCUCCAGAGUCCUGAAGACUGAAACUGGGAUCGCAAAACCAGACACAGGCGAGAGUUACUGGCAAAAUAAACAGCCUAAAGCAGAAGUUUUGCAUCAUCCUUCCCACACUGGUUCUUCCCUAUUUGCUAGAAGAUGAAGACAGGCUCCCGUGUUUGAAAACAGUGCUGAUCAACAGGAAAUAGUAGAUCUUUUCUAACACUGUAAAAGGAAAUUUAUUACAGUAAGGAAGAUAUUAUUUCUUGAGCUAUUUCACUUUUUUCACUAAAUCUAUCAUAAAUCAAACCAACCAAAAAAGAGCUCAGGAAUUAUUGGAUCUGAGAAAGAACUUAUUCAAAUGAAUUCAUCUAGCUAAAGGCAACUGUGAUUUAACUA